CAUCUUCGUCGCCUCCCUGGUGCCGUUUCCCAGGCGGAAGCCCUUGGACCGGACCCAGAACUGGAACUUGCCUUUCUCCCCCCCGCCGGAGCCGCCGCCGGAGCCGGUUCCCCCCUGCAGCACCUCGGCGAUGCGCUGCUCGCUGCGGACUCUGGCUGGGACAGAACAUCUGUCUGUUGCUAUGGCUGCAGUACACUUGAAGGGGAUGACUGGAUAAUUAUUGCAAACAUCCAUCCUGCCUGGUGUGCUCCCGGACCCUCCCUGCCCCAGCCAGGGCAGCGGCCGCUGCUCGGGCACAACUUCCCUCGCAGGGACCCUGCCGAGGAGCGGUCGGUGUCCUCAUCCUUCCAAAGAGAGGGGUUUCCCCGGAGAGUCGCUGCCGGAGAUUCACCCACCCACGUGGCGUCGGAGCUGAAGCAGCACCGCGUGUGCGGGCGCGUCCCGGUGCGGAGCACGACCGACCCGCCACGGGACGCUGCCUGUAGGAGGAAAACGUGGCAGCGCUGCUCCUGACUCAUUGCACAGGCAGCAAUCCUGCGACAGCGAUGCCGGGCUUGCCCAGCACCAAAAAGUGACAGCAUGCUCCACCCACCCCGGCUGCGGGAGCAGGAGCCUUCUCCGCAUGCCCGCGGUCUGGAGGAGCCGCUAUCCCGAGCACAUCUCCCCGUCCUGCUCCGUGACACACCGAAUCUCACCCUACUGCCCCCGUCCCGCCGCCCCCGCGCUCCCCGGGCACCGCCGUUCCCCUCCCUCGGUCGCCCAGGGCUCAGCUCGCCCCACGGAGCUCUGGGAUGGGGAGGAAGGGGAGAAAGGCUGCUCAGAGGCUGAGGCCCAGCCCUCUCAGAUUUGCAUAUUUUUUACUGGCUCCCAAACAACACAUUUCUCCGGGGAAGCGAAUGCGUCGCCUGCCGUCCCCGAGGGUGCUGUGUGCUGGGACAGCAGCCGCUCUGCGCGGAGGGGCCGCGGUCCCGGCACCCUCCGCGAUCGCUCCACACGCCCGCACUUCUCUGCUGCCGCAGGAAAAGCCUUUCCCUUGGUGGUUUCAAAAUUCUCGGGCUUUAAUGCUGCUGCCCUGGGACUGGGUCCGGUCCCUCUUGGCUCACAGGAGUCCCGGAGGCGGCCGGGCUGCAGCCGCCUGCGCAAAUCUGCUCAUUUCUAUUUUGUCACUAGAAUUUCCAGCAUGUCCCUCCUCUCGUGUAUAAUUUAGUCGCAUGAAAAGGAACCGCGCGAGGAGGAGAAGAAGAUGGGGAAACUUGCAAAGUCAGCCAUGGAGAGGGAAUCUGUGUCAGGAAGCAUCACAAAGGGAGCCGGGGGAUUGGCUCCGGUCGCUUCCAGCGGCUGUGUGUGUGCCAGCCCCUCAGGAAUCGCCCGGCGGCUCCUUCCCUCCCUGCGUCCCUCUCGCCUUCGCUGCGCUGCGGCCGGGCUGGGACAGCCCAUCGCCGUUGCCAUGGCUGCGGUGUGCGGAGGGGGGGCUCGGCCGGCUGCCCCCGCCCGAGCAUCCCGCGCCUUCCUCCCGCCGGCCCCAUCGGGCACGCUCCGGCCCCGCCGCGGCCAAAGCCGCACCGUGGAUUUGACACCCGUGGGAUUAGACAGGGCUGUGCCCGCGGGAGGAGGAGAAGUAGGAGAGGAGGAGGAGGAGGGAGCAGGGCAGCUCCGGGCUGGGCGGCCGCCAGCCGCCUCGGGGAGGGCCGGGAGGGCGGCGGGCAGCCAGGAGCGAUUUCUCCUUCUUCCUGGAGUGGAAGGAGCGAUGGGCGCGUCAGCUGCACGGGCUGGAUGUGUCACCUGCCAGCUGCUAUGGUUGACAGUGCUGUGCUUGCAUCUCUGUGUCCCACAACUGUCCACGGCUGGCCUGGCUUUCCCCUCCGAUCUCUCUGCUCCUGGCUCAGAGCCAUCCCGACCGAGGAACUGCCUGACCCAGCGCAGCACAGGGCGUGUGCGCUGGGACGGGAGCUCGCUCCAGUACGAGCCGCGGGUGACAGAACGGAACAGGGACGCUCGGGUUCAGUUUUAUUGCUUUUGAAAAAGUCCGGGGGCUCCUGCCCCCAUCCCGGAGCUGAGUCAGUGUGGGGGGCUCUGCGGUGGGAGCCGCUGCUCGGGGCUGGGGC